CACCCGAGGACCGCCUUUGUCUUCACCUGGCUGCUCGGUCCCCGGUGUCAGGACGGGGAAUUUUAAAGAAUAGCUGAACGUUCGACGGAAAGAUGCGGUAAAACACCCCCAGAGUAUCUUGAACUUUAGCGGAGCACAUGGCUUUCCAGCUAGAGACCACAUUUCCCAGCUUCUUUUGCAGUUUCCUAGAAAAUGGCAACAACCAGGGUGGUCACGGGAGAUGCAAAAAUGGAAGGUAAAGAUUGAAGAUGACAGACUGUCAGAGCCUGUAUGACAUCACGUAGCAGAGCCACCUAGCAGUGUCCCCAGCCCACGGCUGCAGUGUUCCAUGAGGAACAAGUUAACAUUUAUGCUACUUAAGAUUUCAAAGGAGAAGACCCAAGAUCUCUUCACACCUCCUCCUCUUUCUUUGUUCACCGCUCAUGCGUCCUUCCGACUGUCACUCUCCGGGCACACUCAAAGGCAAAACAUUAGACCGUGUUACUGUGUCACUGCAAGAAGGCAGAUCUGGUGCCGGGCAAGUGUAAGACAAUCCUACUGAGACAAAGAGGGACGCUUAGAAGGUUUGAAAAGUAACAAAAGAGAAUACACAAGCAUCGAGAGGGCCCGUAAAGAGAGAUCUAGGAUCCAGACAUGAACGUGUAUGUGAAUGGGAGACAGGGCAUUCAGGAGUGGAAGGGAGCAAGACCAAGCAAUCAGGACCCACGUGUGAAAUCGAGAAGCAGCACAUUACAUUAGAUUAGUGCUUGGAGGGAAAUGUGACUCAAAUUC